rnacentral:rRNA from 1 species
UAGAGAGAGACAUGCGCGCAUAUCAAUAAGCGGAGGAAAAGAAACUAACAAGGAUUCCCUUAGUAACGGCGAGUGAAGCGGGAAGAGCUCAAAUUUGAAAUCUUCAAGGUUUUACCUUGACGAAUUGUAGUUUAAAGAAGUGUUUUCUGCUGAAGUUUUGGUAAAAGUUCUUUGGAAUAGGACAUCAUAGAGGGUGAGAAUCCCGUAUUUGACCAUUAUUUUCAGCUUUGUGAUACACUUUCAAAGAGUCGGAUUGUUUGGGGAUGCAGUCCAAAAUGGGUGGUAAAUUUCAUCUAAAGCUAAAUAUUGGCGAGAGACCGAUAGCGAACAAGUACCGUGAGGGAAAGAUGAAAAGAACUUUGAAAAGAGAGUUAAACAGUACGUGAAAUUGUCAAAAGGGAAGCGUUUGACACCAGUGUUGUUUUCUCGAAAAUCAAUUAAAAAUGGCUCGAUUUUGUAUUGCUUGAGACCUUAAAAGCUCACUGUACAUUUUUCGUGUCUUUUUUAAUGCACUUUUCGUUUAACAAGUCAACUAUCAGUUUCUUUUGUUGUAAAAGGGUCAUUGGAAGGUGGCUUUCUUUUCGGAGAAAGUGUUUAUAGCCUUUGGCCUCUGCAAUCGGAGAGACUGAGGUCUGCAGCGUAGACUCUUCGGGGUUAGAUACAUUUGUGCUAAGUUAUAGCUUUUUAUAGACAACUUGUUGACUAUAAUUAGUCAUGUAGCUUACUCGCUUAUGCUAUUUUACCUACGCUUAGGAUGUUGAAGAUGUAGCACAUCAU